rnacentral:rRNA from 1 species
GAUGAACGCUGGCGGCGUGCCUAAUACAUGCAAGUCGAGCGAACAGACGAGGAGCUUGCUCCUCUGACGUUAGCGGCGGACGGGUGAGUAACACGUGGAUAACCUACCUAUAAGACUGGGAUAACUUCGGGAAACCGGAGCUAAUACCGGAUAAUAUAUUGAACCGCAUGGUUCAAUAGUGAAAGACGGGUUUGCUGUCACUUAUAGAUGGAUCCGCGCCGCAUUAGCUAGUUGGUAAGGUAACGGCUUACCAAGGCAACGAUGCGUAGCCGACCUGAGAGGGUGAACGGCCACACUGGAACUGAGACACGGUCCAGCCUCCUACGGGAGGCAGCAGUAGGGAAUCUUCCGCAAUGGGCGAAAGCCUGACGGAGCAACGCCGCGUGAGUGAUGAAGGUCUGCGGAUCGUAAAACGCUGUUAUUAGGGAAGAACAAAUGUGUAAGUAACUAUGCAAGUCUUGACGGUACCUAAGCAGAAAGCCACGGCUAACUACGG